rnacentral:lncRNA from 1 species
AAACCUUUCUAACCCCAUGAAGGGCGCUCCUGUCAAGUCCUUCAGUGAACAUAUCUCUUCUGGGUUCUUCCUUUACCUGCACAAAAAGUCAAAAAAUUAAAAACCCACAAACCAAAAACUGAAAAAAAAAAAAAUCAACUUUUUUUCUCCAGAGAUCUUGACAAAGAAGAUUGGAGAGAAAACUGAAGAGAUCUCCACUGUGUUCCUAAGAGAGAGGUCGAAACGAAGGAGACGUUGUCUAACGGAUGAAGAGGAAAGAGGGAGGAACCUGGAGAAUAAGGGAAGAACAGCGCAUUGUUUCUAUUGUUCCAGAAAAAAGAUCUGCACAAAUUUUGACUGGUUAUGUCGUUUUUAGCAAGAAAGUGAGAGAGAAAACUUCAUCGAAAGAACUCGAGAACGGCGAUGGGAGGGGAUGCCCUUUCUGAGAUUAGCGAAUGGAAAAGCAAAUGGGUUUUUCCACUGCUUUCGUCGGCUUUCCACCACUUUUCUUUCCACGAUGACCAACACGUGUAGACGUGGAGCUGAGAAAAAAAAAAGCGAUUGCAGGAAAAGGAAGGCAGAGAAUGAAACAGCAGAGAAAUCCAACAGGAAAGGCCAUUGAUGAAGAACGCGUGGCCAGCCAGGACAAAGUGGUCAUUUCACUGUGUAAAAGAGGCAGCACAACGGGGGAUCAAGAAGAAACCGAGGGGCACAUUCGUCAAAUCACUGUUAAUGAACAGUGUUCAGAAACUGAGUUUUAGUAUAUAUAAUGUAUGAAUGCACAACAACCAUUCUUUCAAACUCUUUGUCUCAAACCCAAUAUACCACAUCUCCUUUUUGCUAGUACUCUUGAAUAACUCCUUAUUGCCAGUCCCAAAUAUUACCCUGAUUUAAUGGGCACUUUGGGGCUAACAUGAGACCUAGUACUUGCCAAGAAUUAGACUCAACUACACAACAGUCUUCAUCAUUACCCAUUUCCCUUUCUCCUUCACAAGAUUCUCAACUCAAGAUAAUCAGUUCAGUGUUUGACAAAUGAAUGAAAAACAUGCGUAUCAAUCCAUCCAAGUGGUCUUAUACGCAAUGCGUUUGUAAAUCAAGUGGUCUUUUAUAUAAUAGCUAGUAGUAGAUAAAGAGUUGGAACACCAACUCAAAAAUCAGUUCUUUCAAUUUGUCUCAACAAAGACCUACUGAUAGGAGCAUAUUUAUGCGCCUUAGUUAGCUAGUUCUUAUACAUUUUCGUUAUGUUUUCUUCGUUAAAGUAGUCUUUUGAGCUACUUUCAUGUGUUUUCAGGUUUAAAGGGCACAUUACAAAAAAUGAUGCAAUUCGGAGCUUUUGGAGCAAAAAGUGAGCUGGAAUGUUGUGUAUGCUUAUGGAGCACAAGGAAUGGACGAGUUUGAAGGUCAAGGGAGUUUAAGAAAUGAAGAAAUGAGAGUGAAGAACAACGAAGUCGGAUUUGGCAACUAAAGUUUCUAAAGUUGGAAGUUUCUAUUCUUGGAGGUUUCCGUAUUUGUGAGUUUCUAUUCUUGGCGAUGGGCUUUUGAAUGACCUAUCCUUACCUCUUGGACUUGAGCCGCACUUCCUAGCCAUUCUCUCUUAAAUUCUGACUUAAUAGGGCCUUUAGUUGUGGAUUUGGGUUAUACAAAUCCCUGUCUAAAACUAAGUGGACCUAAGCCCUAAUUCUUUGUGGAUAUUCACCAUAUGCCGCACCUAAACCCUAGCCCAUUUCCAAAUCUGAUCUCCCUAAUCCUAUGCCGCACCUAGGGUUUUAAAUACCUGAUUUCCUUGCCUUGCAAGGCAUUCUAGAAGCCUUAACCUUAGCCCACUAAACCAGCCGAACCCUAGGCCUCUUCCCAUGCAAAAUCUGAUUGUUCUAACCUAUUUUCUGUUGGAUUUGGGCUUCUAGAAACCCAAAUCUGAUUGCUAGGGUUUUUAAGUGCCUAUAUAUACUCCUUUAAAGCUUUUGGCCGAAUAUACCACCUCCCAUAUCAUCCAUUCUCUCCAGAAAUCUACCCUAAGCCUUGCCGCAACCACCACAUCAUUCUCCCUAGGUCUAAGUCUCUGCCGUGCCCCCUAAUCCCCUUAACCCUUCUACCCUAUUCAAAUAACCAUUCAUCCACCACAGCUGCACUUUUCCACCACCAUCACCACCUCGUGCAGCCACCAUUGAAGGAGAAAGAAGUAGUGCCGUGCAGUCCAAAGGAGGGAGAAACCUUGCACAUGCAAUCUGCCAUUAGUGGAGUGUUUGGAGUUCUUUCUUCUCUUGUUUCUGUUUUCAUGUUUAAUUUAAUUUGCUUUUCAAUUAUGUUAAACAUGUGGAACUAAUUUCUUUUUAGUUAGAGGCGAAUUUGAAGCCAUGGACAUAUGUUGGUUAUGAUUUGAUUUACUCCAGUUAUGAAUUCAUGAACUUUAGAUGUGGUUUACUUUUCUGUUUUGAUUAAGAACUUGUCUAUGUAUGUGGGUUGAGGGUCGACACUUAAUUUGCAUGCCUAAAUUUGAUGCUAGGAUAUAAGAGAAUUUCACCUAAUCGUUAUGAACUUAUAUUCAUGAGUAGUAAAGAUCGCUAGUCACGAUUGUGUUUAAGUAAACCCUAGGCUGGAUUAACAUGCGUAUUCCAUAGUUAUGAAUGCCUAGUUGAUGUUCAUGAUUUCCGUUGAACUUAAUGAUCUUUGUUGAAUAUCUCUAUCAUGCGUAUUCCAUAGUUAGGGACUUUGAUGAGGAAUAAUUUGGUUUUAAUGCGUAUCCCAUUCAAUCCAAUGAAUCUAGGGAAAUCUGAAAGUUAAUUUAAGCGAACCUAAUUAACUUGGAGCAUUGUCAUUCAUUGUUUGUUGAAGUCAUAACUGGGAAUCAAAUUAUAUGCAUAUGUUCAUGUGUGGAUAAGGAACCCUCUAACUAGUUUCUCACCAUUCUAUUUCAUCACAAUCUGUUUUGUUUGAAGUUUGUUUACAAGUCUCUGUUUUAAUUUCAAUUUCGUCAAAAUCAAUCCCCCAUUUAUUUUAAAGUGUUAGAUUAGUUAGAAAUCAAUUUAGUUUGUGUUUCUAAGUGUCUUGAGUCAAGUUUUAGUCCAAUUUCGUCCAAAUUAGUGUUAGGUACUCAAAACUGCCCAGAAAGUGGUUUUAAGGC